GACGAACGCUGGCGGCGUGCUUAACACAUGCAAGUCGAACGGUGAAGCGCCUUCCUUUUUGGUGGGUGUGGAUGAGUGGCGAACGGGUGAGUAACACGUGAGUAACCUGCCCCCUUCUUCUGGAUAACCGCAUGAAAGUGUGGCUAAUACGGGAUAUUCUGGGUCUGUCGCAUGAUGGGUCUGGGAAAGAUAUUGUUUCGGUGGGGGAUGGGCUCGCGGCCUAUCAGCUUGUUGGUGGGGUGAUGGCCUACCAAGGCGGUGACGGGUAGCCGGCCUGAGAGGGUGGACGGUCACACUGGGACUGGGACACGGCCCAGACUCCUACGGGAGGCAGCGGUGGGGAAUAUUGCACAAUGGGCGCAAGCCUGAUGCAGCGACGCCGCGUGAGGGAUGGAGGCCUUCGGGUUGUGAACCUCUUUCGCCAGUGAAGCAGGCCUGCCUCGUUUGUGGGUGGGUUGACGGUAGCUGGAUAAGAAGCGCCGGCUAACUACGUG
rnacentral:rRNA from 1 species